CAGAGAAUAGUUUAAGUAAAAUAUUAGUUUUGGGGAUUAAUGAUAGGGAAUUUUCCUUUUCUCUGA
rnacentral:tRNA from 1 species